AGUGAACGCUGGCGGUAGGCCUAACACAUGCAAGUCGAACGGCAGCACAGUAAGAGCUUGCUCUUACGGGUGGCGAGUGGCGGGCGGGUGAGGAAUACAUCGGAAUCUACUUUUUCGUGGGGAUAACGUAGGGAAACUUACGCUAAUACCGCAUACGACCUACGGGUGAAAGCAGGGGAUCUUCGGACCUUGCGCGAUUGAAUGAGCCGAUGUCGGAUUAGCUAGUUGGCGGGGUAAAGGCCCACCAAGGCGACGAUCCGUAGCUGGUCUGAGAGGAUGAUCAGCCACACUGGAACUGAGACACGGUCCAGACUCCUACGGGAGGCAGCAGUGGGGAAUAUUGGACAAUGGGCGCAAGCCUGAUCCAGCCAUACCGCGUGGGUGAAGAAGGCCUUCGGGUUGUAAAGCCCUUUUGUUGGGAAAGAAAAGCAGCAGGUUAAUACCCCGCUGUUCUGACGGUACCCAAAGAAUAAGCACCGGCUAACUUCGUG
rnacentral:rRNA from 1 species